GUUGAGGUCCAAAGGGAAUAAUACAGGUCAAAAAGGCCUACAUAUUUGAGUACCUACCAAACAUUCUUAUAAGUGGAAAACAAAUUAACCAAAUUUAAAUUUCUCAUAUAGUACUUCACACCCACCUUUCCAUUCCAUGCUGAAAUGUGCUGUCUUGAGCUAGUGCAGGCCUUGGGUGCUGUUACAGCUGCUGUGAGUUCAUGAGUGCAGCUGCCUGCUAUGUCCAGAAAACAGUGUCCACCUCCUCCGGCACUUACCCUCUUUCUCCCUCCCUUUGACAGUGAUCCCUACACUGUGUGUGUGUGUGUGUGUGUGUGUGUGUGUGUGUGUGUGUGUACCUUUCAGAAAUUGAGCACUGCUUAGUUGUACUCUCUACACAUUGACCAGUUAUUAGUCUCUGUGUUAGUUGCCAUAUAUUGCAAAAAGAAGAAAGAAAGAAAGAAAGAAAGAAAGAAACCUUUCUGAUGAGGGUUGAGAGAUGCACUAAACUAUGGGUGUAGCUAUAGAUAAUUGGGAGUUAGUUUAAUAUGCUAUGUCUGUUCGGUAGAUUAAUAGUAGUAGUAGGUUCUCCAGUAGAACUUCAUGACCUACCUGUCUGGCCACACAUUUGUGAUUCUAAUAGCGGUGUUAGAUAUGGGCUCUAUUUAUGGAGGGUGACUUAAAUUCUUAAAUCAGAAAGUUGUUGGUUACCCCUCAUGAAAUUCUUCUCACUAGUAUACCAGUAAGUGCAUUUUACCAGGUCAGUCGUUAAAGCUUAUAUAAGUCCUGUUUCUACCUGAGGGGCUAUGGACCAUUCAUAGCUGCUUGGAAAGGCUGAAUCAAUUUUCUUUAAGGCUGUGGCCUCUCUGGUAGGUCAACCAUGCUUUAGUAGAUGGCCCCACUCAUGAGGAUAUUGGCAGCAUACAAUAGACCCAAUGAACUUUAACAAAAGAAGAGAGAUAAAACUCUUUGAAUAUGUAUAUUGUCUAAAAGUUAAAGUAAAUGAGAUGGAAUAAUCAGAAUGAUGAAUAAUUUCAGAUAAGAGCUUCAUGUACAGUGAUGUGGCUGUAUAAAACUACACAUCUCUCUAUAUAUAUUAUUUAUACACGAUGCAGUGAAGCAUGUCACUUUUAAUUAGAGGGAUGGAAUCUUGAUGCUGUUAAUAAGGAUGGAUGUUGAUUGUAUGAACCAUGUUUGUAAAAAUAUGAUUUUGUGUAUUGGAUUAAAAAGGGGAAUUAAGAAAAUAACCAGUAAUGUGGCUGCCUUGGAGAAAGCAUUGCAAAACAUAGUUGGUGAAACACUGGUAUCCAAAAUAAUACAAGGCACUCAAACUCAACAGUAAGCAAACAGCCAACCAAAAAAUGAUCAAAAAAGCUAAAAAAGGAAGUACCUCAUUGGAGGACAUACUCAGAUGGCAAACCAAAACACAGCAUCAGAUAUAUGUAGGAAUUUCAAAUUCAAAAAUUCAGGUACCCCUAUAUAGCUACCAGACUGGCCAUGAUUUAAAAUACCAAUACACCAAAUACUAGUAAGAAUGUAAAGGAAUAAUUUUUCAGCUUGUUGCUGAUGGAAACACAAAAUAGUGUUUUUAAAGACAAGCAGUCCAUGACAAGAUAAAGCAUAUAUAUGAUCCAAAAGUAGGGUCCUUGAUGUUUAUCCAUAGUGAGUGAAGACCACAUAAUAUGCAAUGACAAGUGUGGGCUUUGUUGUGAGAUAUUCACUUUGGUAGUAACCUGUAGAUCUCUGCUGGGCUCUUCACUAUAACAAAUACAUAUUACUUCAUAAUACUAAUUUAAUAAUGGAGAACUUUGAAAUUGAAUCAUUAUAAGAAGACUAUACCUCUAAAUUCUUCUGUUGACCUAAAACAACAGAAAACACCCUUUGCAGGAGAGAUGUGAUAAAGAUAUGCUAGUUAUGGCUGAGUGUUCCAAAGUGUCUCACAUGCUACAUGUCUACCUUUAGGUCUCUGUAUUAGUUAUCAUCUAAUGCAAGAGGAAGCUUGUCUAAUGAGGGUUGAAUGAAGCACUCUUCUAUGGGUAUAGUAAUACAUCAUUCUGAGUCAUUUUAUUGCUAUAUUUAUUUAGCAGACUAGUAAUAUUAGGUUUUACUCUAGUACCCAUGACCUAUAUAGUCUGAGGUUCUUGGCUUUCUUAACAGGGUCAGGUAUGAGUUUCAAGUUGUGGAGAGGACCUUAAAUCCGAUUUACAGUAAUUGGUUACUACUGUAACAUUUGGGCCAUUAUCACACUUGUUCACUCCUUGCAGGAAGGCCACUAUUGUAGCUCACAGGGUUUAUACCUAUAUGUGAUUUUGAUAAUGUUUCUCCUUUGGAAGCAAGCAUAGUGCCUUCCAGCAGUGUGAUAGCUUGAAUGAUAAUGUCUCCCAUAGGUGCAUAUAUUUGAAUGCUUGGUCUCAAGAUAGAGGGACUGAGAAACUUUUUAGGAAGAUUAGGAGAUGUGUCCUAGAGAAUGAAUAUCACCUGGGACAGGUUUUCGUACACCAGUAUCUUUGUUUGGGUGAUUGUUGUUGUUUUGUUUUUUUUUUUGUUUGUUUGUUUUGAGGGAAGAUAAAGUUGGUGGAGUAUGGGAAGUGUGUUGGCAGAGGGAAGAAAUGAUCAAAUUAUAUUGUAUGAAAAUAUUUAAAAAUAAAGCAAACAAUCAUAGUAAAAUGACACAUUUAUUGUAUGAGUCGUACUCUGACAUUCCUUGUGGAACAGCUACUGGCUCCAAAUGAGCCAUAUUUUCUAUUCUGAAACAUGCCAUACUUGCCUGCUUGUAAGUCCUUAUCAUUGAAAGUAAACAAAACUUUACCCU
rnacentral:lncRNA from 1 species